CAGAGAACAUCGCCCUCACGGGUGACUCUCCAACCCUAUGUUAUUAUACCUUUGUUGCUUUGGCGAGCCGCUUCGGCCACCGACUUCGGUUGGUGCGUGCUCGCCAGAGGACCCCAAACUCUUGUUUUAUACAGUAUCUUCUGAGUAACACGAUUAAAUAAAUCA
rnacentral:misc_RNA from 1 species